GACGAAGGGGGCUAGCGUUGCUCGGAAUCACUGGGCGUAAAGGGUGCGUAGGCGGGUCGUUAAGUCAGGGGUGAAAUCCUGGAGCUCAACUCCAGAACUGCCUUUGAUACUGAGGAUCUUGAGUUCGGGAGAGGUGAGUGGAACUGCGAGUGUAGAGGUGAAAUUCGUAGAUAUUCGCAAGAACACCAGUGGCGAAGGCGGCUCACUGGCCCGAUACUGACGCUGAGGCACGAAAGCGUGGGGAGCAAACAGG
rnacentral:rRNA from 1 species